UACUAUUUAACUUAGGUACAACCCUGCCCUCUGACUUUUAACAGCCGCGGUAUCCUAACCGUGCUAAGGUAGCAUAAUCACUUGCCUAUUAAUUAUAGGCUAGAAUGAACGGGAUCACUCACUUAAACUUAUUUUUAUUUAAAUUUAAAUUAAACUUUAAGUCAAAAUACUAAAUUAAAAAGAAAGACAAAAAGACCCUGAAAACUAUUAGAAAUAAUUAGUUGGGGCAACUAUAGACCACUCUAGCGUCUAUUUUUUUAAACUCUUAAAAUCUAAAGUAUCCAGUUACUUCAGGGAUAACAGACUAAUUUUAUUAUUUAGACCCAAUAAAUAAUAAAGAUUGGCACCUCGAUGUUGGCUUAUAUUUCCUUCAUAUAGCAACAUAUAUAGAAGGCAGCUUG
rnacentral:rRNA from 1 species